GUCCUGCACAGAGGGAGCCCUCUAUGAUGUGGCCACACCUUGCCAACCCACAGCACAAAGGCAGCUGAAUGCUGUGCAGCAGGGUAGCUGGAGCACGUUCACAUUUGUGUGAAAGCCUCAACACAUCACUGAUGGCAGUUUCUUUCUCGAGUACAAUUAGGCAGACAGAUCUCAUCUGCAUGCAAAGGCAGUGCCUGCAGGGGGUUGGGAGCACUGGGCAGCAGCCCUCACUAGGCAGGGGUGCUCCAGUGAGGACCUGAGUGUUUCCCACCCAGUGCCACCCUCAGGAGGCUCAUCCUGCACCUGGGGAGCAGACAAACUCAGGAUAACUACAGGUGACAAGAGUCACAGCACACAUGCAUAGGAUUCGUCUCUACAAGGAAUGAAGAAACUCAAAGCCCUGGAGAUGCAGAGAGAGUUAUCAGGUAACUGCCAGAUGUGUGAUGGGCGCAGCUACACAAUAAAGCUGCCCACAGGGAACGGAGCAAAAGAAUAAUAACAAGGAGGUUCCUGAGCGGUCCUGCUGAGUCCACAAAGCAAACCAUCCUGUCAAAGCCAAACACCCUUUGGGCUGAUGCUGGAACCCAGGGCACCAAAGCCUUUUUCAUCCAGACUUCCUACCUGCAUAAUUCAACAGCCUCCUGGCUAAGAAGCCAAGCACUUGGGUUUCUCCUGCGUGUCAAAGGCCUCUGAAGUGACACCCUAGAGGACAAGCAAGCCUGGGGGAGUGAGGGGCAAGUGAGCUAAGAAGCCAGUGCUGAGGAAGCCUCCUGCUCCCCCUCUGCCAAAGAUCUCAGCAAAUGACCACAAGGUGCACGGAUUUGGAGCUCUUGAUGGGAAGGAAGAGGGGGUGCAGAGACAUGGAGAGGGGUUGUGAAGCCCUUUCUUAGGAAUCAGCUCUACUUCCCUCCCACGUCCUUAGUAAUGAAGAAGUACUUUUUGGAAAUGUGUUGAUCAACACUGAAUUCCCCUACGCAGCAAGAACCAGGAAGCUGUAGGCCAGAGCCUUUGAAAAGCCCUUCACGCUGAAAGAAGAGGUGCCUAGCCCCAGCUGCAGACCACCCAGUUCCCUCACUGCCCAGCCCUAAGUAGUCCUCCAGCCCCCACAACUCUAAAGUAGGGAGCGGUUCCUUUGCUUCAUUAGAAAUUGGGUUUAUUUGUAAGUCAGCAAAGAACCACUGAGAAGGUUAAGGGAGCCCCAACCCAAACCAGUGGGCUCUGCACCCACAGACUCAAGCGACCACAGGGCAAAACGUUUUAUAAAAACUUGCUUCUGAACAGAACAUAUGCAACUUUUUCUUGUCACUACUCCCUACAUAAAACGGUAUGACAACUAUUUUCAAAGCAUUUGUACUGAGUUAGGUAUUAUAAUCUCUCAAGAGGUGAUCUAAACUAUAGAGGAGGAUUACAGAGGGAAAAUGUAAAUUCUAAAUCCUUUUACACAAGGGACUCCAGCAUCCCAGGAUCUCUGUAUCCACAGGGAGUCCUGGUCAGUCCCCCAAGGAUACCAAGGGAUGACAUGAAACUCCAGGGCCAGGACAAGCAGACCCCCAAUUACCUGCCCUGGUUAUCAUACAAAGAGAACCUUGGAGAGGGUCCUGGCACUUCCCUGCACCAGUGGAACGUGAGGCUGCCCUGGUAAAGAGGAGGGACCUGCUGGUCAUGUGGCUGCAUCAUGAGCUUCAGCAUCUGUAGGACAGUCGCUCUCAAGUUCAAGUGUAAUAACACGUGAUAUGGUGGAAGAAAGCAAGAAACUGCUGGCUUCCUCAAUAUUCCCAGGGUCUGUGCUGAAAACGUGUGUGGUCUUACCCACAGGGGGAGCUCAGGCUUUGAGAGGAAGUGCAAGCUUCCCAGGUAGCUACAGGCUGAGCUAAGUGACUCAUCAGUGAUCUAAUCCCUCAGGAAGUUCUCAUUGGCAGUAAAGCUAUGUGGAAAGGAGCUACUGAAAGAAUAAGGGCUGCAGGCAUCUUUGCUUUUCUUGUUAAGGACAUAGAUUCCUAAGGAGUUUUGUCAUUCACUCAAAAGCAGGUGCUUGGAGGAAAAGUUUGGGACCCACACCCCACAGGAUUCAGGACUCCUGUCCACGGCAAAGGCUACAGGGCGCCCACACAGAGGCAGGGGAGGCAAUCUUUCUACAUUGUGCAAUUCAUUUCUUUCCAUUUUUUUCUAUGGCAAACUUCACUAGUCUCUCAACCCCCCAACCCCAACACACAUGCACCCCUUUUAGGUGGCACUUGUGAGCCUGGGAUGAGAACCAGUUUCCAGCCUCUUCUGGAACCAGCUUGGAGGGGAUGUCACAACCAUGGGACUAAAUUCCAGCCAGAUGGACCUAAGUGGAUGGUCACAUGUGACGUUUGCAAAGUGUUCAAGAAAGAAAGGGACAUACACUUCCUCUUCCUUUCCUCUUUCCCACCAGGCUGGACUGAAGCAAGGCAGUAGGUGUUCUAGUAACCAGCUUGGGCCCUGGGGGAGAGUGCUGUGUGCGAGGUCUAGCAGGGAAACCAACAGGGCUUCAGUCAUCUUGAAACUGCCUUGGAUUCCGAUCUCCAUUGGCACACGAAGCGAAACUCUACUCUGCAGGAAACACUGAUAUUUGGGUUUUCUGUCACCCACGACUGAGCCUAAUCUGAAGGGAGACUUGGCUGGAUCUACUGUGGACAGGACAUCCUCUCUGCCACCCAUGGUGCAAACCAGUUCUCACAGGACCUGCCAUUUACAAGAGGCAAGGAUCACUUUCCACGUCCCACGGCCCUGCAGCCCUGCAGCCCAUGCAUCCCACCCAGGGCAUAGCACCAGAAAGGUCACCUCCACAUGUGGAAAGGAACCUUUCUUCAUUUUAUGGAAAAUUUCUUUUCAAGAUGACUUUUUCCUACUCUGGCUGGCAAUUUGUAUGAAACCAAGAAUAAAUAUUUUCUCUAGGA